GUGACUCCUUGUCGAAACGGGAACAGCUAACCGAACCCUUGGGAAGCUGCCGAAGUCGCCCGUUUAUACUAUUGGGGUAAGCCUCAAGGGCGUCGGACUGUUGGAGGUGUCACCCACUGGAUGGACCGCCCAAUCCUCGGGGGAGCAGGGGAAUUUGGCAAUGGCGAAGCUGUCCAGCCAUCCGGGGAGUGAGAAGCCUUAGGGUGUAAAGUUUUUGUCCGGACGAAAUGCGGUACGGAAGAUAGCCCCGGCUAAUUCGUCCAGCAGCCGCGGUAUACGAAGGGGCUAGCGUUGUUGGAAUCACUGGGCGUAAAGGGCGCGUAGGCGGCCAUUCAAGUCGGGGGUGAAAGCCUGUGGCUCAACCACAGAAUUGCCUUCGAUACUGUUUGGCUUGAGUAUGGUAGAGGUCGGUGGAACUGCGAGUGUAGAGGUGAAAUUCGUAGAUAUUCGCAAGAACACCAGUGGCGAAGGCGGCCGACUGGACCAUUACUGACGCUGAGGCGCGAAAGCGUGGGGAGCAAACAGGAUUAGAUACCCCUGGUAGUCCACCCCCGUAAAACGAUGAAUGCUAGGCUGUUGGGGGUGCUUGCACCUUCAGUAGCGGCGGCUAAACGCUUUAAAGCAUUCCCGCCUUGGGGAGUACCGGUCGCAAAGAUUAAAAACUCAAAAGGGAAUUGACCGGGGGGCCCGCACAAGCCGGGUGGAGGCAUGUUGGUUUAAAUUCGGAAAGCAACGCGGCAGGAACCUUACCCCAUCCCCUUGACCAUGUCCGUGCCCAUCCCGGAGAGAUCCCGGGGGUUCCCCUUCGGGGGACGCGAACACCAGGGUGCUGCCAAUGGGCUGUCGUCAGCCUCGGUUGUCGUGAGGAAUUGUUGGGUUAAAAGUCCCCGCAACGGGAGGCGCAACCCCCACCGUCCCUUAGGUUGCCGGUUCUUUUACAAGUUGCGGCACUACUAGGGGGAGACCUUGGCUGGUGAAUUAAGCCGCGAGGGGAAGGUGGUUGGAUGGACCCGUCAAGUUUCCCUCCAUGGCCCCCUUUACGGGGGAUUGGGCUACCCACCACGUGCCUUACCAAUGGGGCGGGUGGACCAGGUGGGGACGCGGAAAAACCCGCGGAGGGUUGGAGCAAAUUUCCCCCAAAAAAAACCCGUUUCUCCAGUUUCCAGGAUUUGCCACCUU
rnacentral:rRNA from 1 species